GCCCCGGCCCGCGGCGUUCUGCCCUGGCUUCCGGCCCGCUGCGCUGGAGCUGGGAGAGGCCGGCAGGCUAUGGGGCCGCGGCGGGGCUAGGCGCGGCGAUGUCCGGCUACGCGCGCCGGCCCGGGCCGCCGCUAUCACGGACGCGGAACCUGGUGAUCCCGGACGCUCCUGCGUUCUAUGAGCGCCGGUCUUGUCUCCCCCAGCUCGAGUGCGAGCGUCCCCGUGGCGGGGACCUGCACCCCCACCUGCUCGGCUUCCGGCCGACCUUUACGCGCUAUGUGCCCAGCCCGGUGCUGGCGUCGGUGGGCGACACAGGUGAUAAACAUGAAGACCUUCAAGAGUCCAAUCCAUUCUCCUUCAAAGAGUUUCUGAAAACCAAGAACCUCAGCUUGGCCAAAGAGGACAUGACCAACAGUCGAAUUUACCCAAAGGAAGCCUCAAGGCACCCACUGGGACUGGACCCCAACUCCCCCACCUCCCCACUGGUGGGGUAUGGCUUGGAAUAUCAGCAGCCAUUUUUUGAAGACCCCACAGUGGCCAGCAACUUGAAGGAGGAGGAGGAGGAGGAGGAUGGGUGGAAUGGAGCCUACCUGCCAUCUGCAGUGGAGCAGACUCAGUCGUCGAGAGCCACGGACAACACAUUGCCCUGUGGCACAUACCUUUCUUUUUUCUCCAAUGCAUCGGAGCUGGCAGGGCCCGAGUCUUUGCCCUCAUGGAUGCUGAGUGACACUGACUCUCAGGUCUCCCCGACAUCUCCAGCUGGAAGUCUUACUACAGACUUUUUGGCUCAUGGAGAGACCCUGGGAGACAGACACCUUCGAACCCUGCAGAUAAGUUAUGAAGCACUGAAAGAUGAAAAUACUAAGCUCAGAAGAAAGCUGAAUGAGAUUCAGAGCUUCUCUGAAACUCAAACAGAAAUGGUGAGGACGCUUGAGCGGAAGCUGGAGGCAAAGAUGACAAAGGAGGAGAGUGACUUCCACGACCUGGAGUCAGUGGUCCAGCAAGUCGAGCAGAACCUUGAGCUGAUGACCAAACGAGCUGUAAAAGCAGAAAAUCACGUUAUGAAGCUGAAGCAGGAAAUAAGUUUGCUCCAGGCACAGGUCUCCAAUUUCAAGCAAGAGAAUGAAGCCCUGCGGUCAGGCCAGGGCGCCAGCCUUACUGUGGUAAAGCAGAAUACUGACAUGGCCUUGCAGAACCUCCAUGUUGUCAUGAAGAGUGCACAUGCAUCCAUAAAGCAGCCAAACUGUCCCAGAGAACCUUCCUACCUGGAGGUAUGGAUGACACAUGCACUUGAAUCCAGUGCCUUCACCUGCAAGACACUGCAGCCCUGAAUAAAGGGGACCAUAAUAGCUUCCCCCAUUUCAAGCCUCGUGGCACAGUCUUGGCAGCUCAUGUCUGGAGCAGAAACACUGAAUCUUGUUGCUGAAAUCCUUAAGUCUAUUGACAGAAUCACUGAAGUCAAAGAUGAAGUGGACUCUUGAGAACGGCUGGCUGCCGCUGGUCCCACUACCUCUGCAUUGAGAUCACCACACUUCAUCUGAGCGUGCCCUCAGCUAUGCAGUCCUCACCAAAGCUUUUAUGAUGAGAUACUGAUUUCACGGCCUAUUGCAGUGCUACUGACCACCUGCAAUCCAGGGGUUCCCUUCCACGAGCUGCACUUGUGGUUUACCUGCAGUCCUGGGUGAAAGUCGCACUUUUUAUAGACUUAAUCUACUGGAAGACAUUUUUGUAAAACCCAGUGAUUUCUAGAAAUCACUAAGCUGAAAAUGGCUCCUUUGUAGACACUGCUUUUGUGACGGACACUGGCUGUCGGACAAGCUCAGGCAGAACACUGAGCCAGUGUGGAAGUGAGGGGCCCAGACAGGGACUUGCUGUGCCUUUGUGCUGCUGCUCAGUGCCUCACCAGCUGACAGUCCACGUCGUGGCCUUCGCAGGGUGGCUGCUGUGGUCAGCAGCCCUAGUGAGGAGGCACCAUUGGUAGAUGUUGCUCUCCUCCCACCAGAACCACAGGGAACGAGGUUGCAGACAUCACAUUACAGAGCUGUGUAAACAUCCCUACCCGUGUGUGAGCCUUCAGCUUUGGAACGCCGUUUUUGCCUGAGUUUUGGUGAGUGACUCGGAGCCUUCUGCACAGUAAAAUUAAGACAGGGAAUUUAAAGUGCACACCCCUUUCGAGUUGGCUCCAGGUCUCUGGGCUGUCUCUAACCGCUUUUUCAAGGACAAAGCACAACCAGCACUCUGUGCUGUGCCAUGCCGUGUCGGGCCAUUUUCCUAUAGAUUUAAAAUUUUUUCUUUCCUUCCUAUUAUUAGUAACUUUCUUGUCUAAAUAAAUCCCGAAGAUCAUCUG